rnacentral:rRNA from 1 species
CCUACGGGCGGCUGCAGUGGGGAAUAUUGCACAAUGGGCGCAAGCCUGAUGCAGCCAUGCCGUGUGUGUGAAGAAGGCCUUCGGGUUGUAAAGCACUUUCAGCGGGGAGGAAGGCGUUAAGGUUAAUAACCUUGUCGAUUGACGUUACCCGCAGAAGAAGCACCGGCUAACUCCGUGCCAGCAGCCGCGGUAAUACGGAGGGUGCAAGCGUUAAUCGGAAUUACUGGGCGUAAAGCGCACGCAGGCGGUCUGUCAAGUCGGAUGUGAAAUCCCCGGGCUCAACCUGGGAACUGCAUUCGAAACUGGCAGGCUAGAGUCUUGUAGAGGGGGGUAGAAUUCCAGGUGUAGCGGUGAAAUGCGUAGAGAUCUGGAGGAAUACCGGUGGCGAAGGCGGCCCCCUGGACAAAGACUGACGCUCAGGUGCGAAAGCGUGGGGAGCAAACAGGAUUAGAUACCCUAGUAGUC